UAAUGAAAAUCAUCAAGUGGACAUCAAUGGUGUGACACAAAUUGUCACACCCUAAUUCAGAAAAUCAUAUCUCACAAACCAGCAAUGAUAAAUUCACAAACUCUACACCAAAAUCACCAUGAGUGUGUCUAGUUUAAGCACAAAAAAUUUGGGAGCCAUUGGAUAAAGUAUCACCAUUUCACAAAUGUUUUGGCAAAGUG
rnacentral:lncRNA from 1 species